GAUGAACGCUGGCGGCGUGCCUAAUACAUGCAAGUCGAGCGAACGGACGAGAAGCUUGCUUCUCUGAUGUUAGCGGCGGACGGGUGAGUAACACGUGGAUAACCUACCUAUAAGACUGGGAUAACUUCGGGAAACCGGAGCUAAUACCGGAUAAUAUUUUGAACCGCAUGGUUCAAAAGUGAAAGACGGUCUUGCUGUCACUUAUAGAUGGAUCCGCGCUGCAUUAGCUAGUUGGUAAGGUAACGGCUUACCAAGGCAACGAUGCAUAGCCGACCUGAGAGGGUGAUAGGCGACACUGGAACUGAGACGCGGACCAGACUCCUACGGGAGGCAGCAGUAGGGAAUCUUCCGCAAUGGGCGAAAGCCUGACGGAGCAACGCCGCGUGAGUGAUGAAGGUCUUCGGAGCGUAAAACUCGGUUAUUAGGGAAGAACAUAUGUGUAAGUAACUGUGCACAUCUUGACGGUACCUAAUCAGAAAGCCACGGCUAACUACGUG
rnacentral:rRNA from 1 species